rnacentral:rRNA from 1 species
AGUGAACGCUGGCGGCAGGCCUAACACAUGCAAGUCGAGCGGCAGCGCGGGGGCAACCCUGGCGGCGAGCGGCGGACGGGUGAGGAAUUCGUCGGAAUCUGCCUUUUUGUGGGGGAUAACGUAGGGAAACUUACGCUAAUACCGCAUACGCCCUACGGGAGAAAGUGGGGGACCGCAAGGCCUCACGCAGAAAGAUGAGCCGACGACCGAUUAGCUAGUUGGUGGGGUAAAGGCCCACCAAGGCGACGAUCGGUAGCUGGUCUGAGAGGAUGAUCAGCCACACUGGAACUGAGACACGGCCCAGACUCCUACGGGAGGCAGCAGUGGGGAAUAUUGGACAAUGGGCGCAAGCCUGAUCCAGCCAUGCCGCGUGUGUGAAGAAGGCCUUCGGGUUGUAAAGCACUUUUGUCCGGAAAGAAAUCCAUGGAGCUAAUACCUUCGGGGGAUGACGGUACCGGAAGAAUAAGCACCGGCUAACUUCGUG